UUGGUGUGAUCAGAGCUGGUGUCUCUAAGACCAUAGACAACCGGUUUAUACCACACCAUAGAUAAACAUGCGGUCAGGCCCCAAAGACAGACAUCACUGAGCGGUUGUCUGGGGCAACCCUGACCCAACAUUA
ensembl:snoRNA